rnacentral:rRNA from 1 species
CAGUAGCCACGGGAAUACGGAGGGAGCUAGCGUUAUUCGGAAUUACUGGGCGUAAAGCGCACGUAGGCGGCUUUGUAAGUUAGAGGUGAAAGCCUGGUGCUCAACACCAGAACUGCCUUUGAUACUGCAUCGCUUGAAUCCAGGAGAGGUGAGUGGAAUUCCGAGUGUAGAGGUGAAAUUCGUAGAUAUUCGGAAGAACACCAGUGGCGAAGGCGGCUCACUGGACUGGUAUUGACGCUGAGGUGCGAAAGCGUGGGGAGCAAACGGGAUUAGAUACCCCUGUAGUCCCUGUCUCUUAUAC